UACGAAGGGGGCUAGCGUUAAUCGGAAUUACUGGGCGUAAAGCGUGCGCAGGCGGUUUUGUAAGUCUGACGUGAAAUCCCCGGGCUCAACCUGGGAAUUGCGUUGGAGACUGCAAGGCUUGAAUCUGGCAGAGGGGGGUAGAAUUCCACGUGUAGCAGUGAAAUGCGUAGAGAUGUGGAGGAACACCGAUGGCGAAGGCAGCCCCCUGGGUCAAGAUUGACGCUCAUGCACGAAAGCGUGGGGAGCAAACAGG
rnacentral:rRNA from 1 species